rnacentral:misc_RNA from 1 species
GAUGAAGAACGCAGUGAAAUGCGAUAAGUAAUGUGAAUUGCAGAAUUCAGUGAAUCAUCGAGUCUUUGAACGCACAUUGCGCCCCCUGGUAUUCCGGGGGGCAUGCCUGUCCGAGCGUCAUUGCUGCCCUCAAGCACGGCUUGUGUGUUGGGCCUCCGUCCUCCUCCCGGGGGACGGGCCCGAAAGGCAGCGGCGGCACCGCGUCCGGUCCUCGAGCGUAUGGGGCUUCGUCACCCGCUCUUGUAGGCCCGGUCGGCGCUUGCCGACACAUCAAUCUUUUUUCCAGGUUGACCUCGGAUCAGGUAGGGAUACCCGCUGAACUUAAGCAUAUCAAUAAGCGGAGGA